rnacentral:piRNA from 1 species
UCCACACCUGUAUGCCUGAGGAGCUGGCAAA